UACAGAGGGGGCGAGCGUUGUUCGGAAUUACUGGGCGUAAAGGGCGCGUAGGCGGCCUCUUAAGUCGAACGUGAAAUCCCCGGGCUCAACCCGGGGACUGCGUCCGAUACUGGGAGGCUUGAAUCCGGGAGAGGGAUGUGGAAUUCCAGGUGUAGCGGUGAAAUGCGUAGAUAUCUGGAGGAACACCGGUGGCGAAGGCGGCAUCCUGGACCGGUAUUGACGCUGAGGCGCGAAAGCCAGGGGAGCAAACGGG
rnacentral:rRNA from 1 species